rnacentral:rRNA from 1 species
AUUGAACGCUGGCGGCGCGCUUAACACAUGCAAGUCGAGCGAGAAAGGGCUUCGGCCCCAGUACAGCGGCGCACGGGUGAGUAACACGUGGGUAAUCUACCCCUGAGUGGUGGAUAACCCUCCGAAAGGAGGGCUAAUACAGCAUAAGACCACGGCGUCCUCGGAUGUCGCGGCCAAAAGCGGGCCUCUUCAUGAAAGCUCGUGCUCGGGGAUGAGCCCGCGGCCCAUCAGCUUGUUGGCGAGGUAAAAGCUCACCAAGGCAAAGACGGGUAGCUGGUCUGAGAGGAUGAACAGCCACACUGGAACUGAGACACGGUCCAGACUCCUACGGGAGGCAGCAGUGGGGAAUCUUGCGCAAUGGGCGAAAGCCUGACGCAGCGACGCCGCGUGAGCGAUGAAGGCCCUCGGGUCGUAAAGCUCUGUGGGGAGGAAAGAAUAAGGGUAGGUUAAUAUCCUGCCUGAUGACGGUACCUCCUUAGCAAGCACCGG